ACACUGAAGCUCAAGGUAGACUGAGGCUGUAAGAAUACAUGUAGACUUCUGGUCCUCCUGCUUGAACGGCUUCCUGACCUAUUGAGGGAGUUCUCAGAGAGGCAAUGUCAUAGGGUGAAAAGAUGCACAUAACUGGCACACCUUGGCCUGACUCUCUUUGUCUGCUGCAUGCUACUGUUAUUUACUCUUUUCUUUUGCAAUGUCCUUUUUCCUUCACCUUCACACAGCUAAGAUAUGGCUUACAGACACUCAAUAUAAGAUAACGUCAUGAAUAAAUUAAUCAGUGAACAGCAGUGGUAGAAGUUCUCGUAAUGGCCCUCAGUCUAAGAAAGUUUUACAUUAGUGGUGCCAUCAGGAUCUACAGUGCCCCAGAAAUCUAAAGCAUGGCCCUGGAAUUCUGUUGACAUGAUUUAUUCUACUUAAUGGCACUGGCGUGCCUUCCUGCUGGCAAAGAUAUUUAGCCAUAGGGGUGGGUAAAACUCAGAGAAGGCAAGAAUACUGGAGGGGGUUGCCAUUUUCCUUCUCCCGGGGGAUCUUCCCAACCCUGGGAUUGAACCUCGGUCUCCCACAUUGCAGGCAUUCCUUACCAUCUGAGCCACCAGGGAAGUCUGUUUCUCAAAGCUCUCAUCAAAUAGCCAGAAACAUCUGUGAACAGAGAAGAGGCUAGUCAAGGAUCUAGGGAGACUCAUAAACACAGUACAACAUUCAGUCUAUGCUUCUGACUGUUCCUGCAAUGAAGUAAUAUACUUUCUUCAAUGCCAUCCUUCCCACUUUUUAACUGAGAAGUCACUCAUUUAAAAAAUGCUUAGUCUCAGAGAAAAGUAAGUUGAAAGAGAUCUUUAAGCUAGCAUCAGAAUUAAAAGCAAAGAUCAAUAAUGCUUGUCAGAAAAAUGAGGCAUUUAAAAGCCAAGCUUUAAAGUGAGUUAGUUUGUAUAUGAUUCUGUUGUUCUAGGGGGCAGUGUGUAGUUAGAUGAGCAAUAUCACACCUUCCUUCUAAACCUUCUGCAGUUUAGUUUUCUAUGCUCCAUUUCACUUUUUAAAAAUUGGGAAAGAUCUUUUGCUUUGUUUAAAUUAGAGCAUGCAAUAAUAGUAUUUAUCAAGUACUUACAUUUUCAACUUUAAAACAUAGGC
ensembl:lncRNA